UUUCCUCUUAUAAACUCAUUAAUCUACCGAAAUGGAGCAAGUGGGUUUGGACUACGAGGAACUUUCAGUCUGCUGAGCUCUCUGCACACCUGAUCCAACAUCCCUAGAAAGUCUCUAACAAUAACAAAAAUACGAAGUGGGUUUGCUUCUUCUUUGCUCACAUCUCCAUGAAAGUACUCUGUAAUUUCUCUAACAUGUAAUAGUACUCUGUGUUCAUCUUCUUGCAACUCCUUCAGAUUCCUUUCUGCAUAAUUUAUGAAUGUUUUCAUUGAAUGAACAAAGCUUCCACUCUUUUCAUCUUCGGACAAGUCCUUGAUUAUUAAAUGUUGCAGUUUAGACAUUCCUUCAGAAAGGUUAGAGACUGAGCUUGCAAGAACAUCCAAAUCAAUUGUAGCUGUUUUCUUGACAUUAUAGAGUUCUGUACUUAGACCUGAAACAAGCUCUAAACCCAUUCUUCUGUAAUCUUCUUCUCUUUGUUCAUUUGUCUUGCUUCUGUUCUUCUGACUGAUUCUUCCCAUAAUACUGUCUGAAACUCGAACCCCUUCUGUUCGAAUUAUUUCUUGGACUACAAAAUGGAGUAAGCUAGUUUUGCCAUCUGUUCCUUUCACAUCAGCAAGUUUAAGAAGAGCAUCAAGCUUGAAUGCCUUAGCACCACCUCUAAUUGUUCCAACGUUCAUACGGUUUCCUGUUUUGAGUACUGCUUCAAGUAACUUCAAGAAAAGUCUACUUGAUCUGAGUUCUUUGCAGGCAUCCUAAUGAAAAGCAGAAUAAGGGACGGACAUAAGUAGAGUUGAAUUAUACUAGGAUACACUAUAGAGUUAUUCAAAUAACCUACAUGCACAGUCUCUAUGCACAUAAGCUGUUUGAGGAUAUUCCUAACAGUAAGUAUAAAUAUAAGCAUACAACUGAUUUGGUGUGCGAUUUGAUCAGUUACCUCCAGCAUUGAGAAGGAAUUUCUCAGAUGAACCACCUCAUCUUCAAAAGUUUCUCUAUAAAGCAUUGCUUCAACUCUUAGAAAGGCAAAUGGUAUGGUAAGUGCUAAUUUAACAAACUUUUCUGCAGGUCCCAAUUCAUUGAUGUCUCCUGUAUAGUCUGCAAGCUUAGCCUCUUCUUCCUUGGUGGGUACCAUCUUUGUCAGCGCCUCUAGUUGUUGUAAACUCAAGCCAUCCCCUGCUUUCCACAGUUCAAAUAAUAUUAGUUUCCGUUUUGCUUCUGCUCCAAAUUCAUUGUCAUAUUUUAUAAAACUCUGUGAAGAUUUCUAAGCUAUUACCUCUUAUUAAUGCUUCACAUACUUGCUCAGGAGUUGCAUUCAAGGCUUUUGAGAGUAUGGUUAAGUUCUGCAGUCUCUUUGGCUCUAGGACAUGUUUGUUUGGGCAUGGGGUUUUACUCUUUUCUUCAUCAUUCUUCAUUGUAACUUGUAAAUUAUAUCCAAAAAGUGAUUCAAUCAUCUCCUCGUCCAACCUGUUUUGCAAAUCACUGAUUGGUGAACUCCAAUCAGAAGUGUAAAUAUAUUGAUGAAAAUGAGGCAGGACUUACUCGAAUGAGCUUGACCUUAUCUUGUCCCACACCAUACUACGAUCAGGUGCAGCUCUAACUUUGUCCCAAUGAAGAGGCUUUAAUUUUGGCAGUGGAACUCUAGCUUUGCCCUGUGAAUAUUGAGGAAGCUGAGACGGU
rnacentral:lncRNA from 1 species